AUGCUUGGGAAUCUAGCUUAUGGAGGGGGAUAACUANNGGAAACUGUAGCUAAUACCGCGUAGUAUCGAGAGAUGAAAGUGUGGGACCUUCGGGCCACAUGCCAUAGGAUGAGCCCAAGUGGGAUUAGGUAGUUGGUGAGGUAAAGGCUCACCAAGCCGACGAUCUCUAGCUGGUCUGAGAGGAUGACCAGCCACACUGGGACUGAGACACGGCCCAGACUCCUACGGGAGGCAGCAGUGGGGAAUAUUGCGCAAUGGGGGCAACCCUGACGCAGCCAUGCCGCGUGAAUGAAGAAGGCCUUCGGGUUGUAAAGUUCUUUCGGUAGCGAGGAAGGCACCNAGUUUAAUAGACUAGGUGAUUGACGUUAANUACAGAAGAAGCACCGGCUAACUCCGUGCCAGCAGCCGCGGUAAUACGGAGGGUGCGAGCGUUAAUCGGAAUAACUGGGCGUAAAGGGCACGCAGGCGGUGACUUAAGUGAGGUGUGAAAGCCCCGGGCUUAACCUGGGAAUUGCAUUUCAUACUGGGUCGCUAGAGUACUUUAGGGAGGGGUAGAAUUCCACGUGUAGCGGUGAAAUGCGUAGAGAUGUGGAGGAAUACCGAAGGCGAAGGCAGCCCCUUGGGAAUGUACUGACGCUCAUGUGCGAAAGCGUGGGAGCAAACAGGAUUAGAUACCCUGGUAGNCNNCGCUGUAAACGAUGUCNAUUUGNGGC
rnacentral:rRNA from 1 species